GAAUAUUGGUCAAUGGGCGAGAGCCUGAACCAGCCAUGCCGCGUGCAGGAUGAAGGCGUUCUGCGUUGUAAACUGCUUUUAUCAGGGAAGAAAACGCUCCUGCGGGGGGUAACUGACGGUACCUGAUGAAUAAGCACUGGCUAACUCCGUGCCAGCAGCCGCGGUAAUACGGAGGGUGCAAGCGUUGUCCGGAUUUAUUGGGUUUAAAGGGUGCGUAGGCGUGUUCUUAAGUCAGUGGUGAAAGCCGGCAGCUCAACUGUCGAACUGCCAUUGAUACUGGGAACCUUGAGUACAGAUGAGGUAGGCGGAAUUUAUGGUGUAGCGGUGAAAUGCAUAGAUACCAUAAAGAACACCGAUAGCGAAGGCAGCUUACUAAACUGUAACUGACGCUGAGGCACGAAAGCAUGGGGAUCGAACAGG
rnacentral:rRNA from 1 species